UUUCAUAACAUAUACACAUUAGGUUAUACUUAAAAUUGGCAGCAUUUUGUUCACCCUUGAAAAUUUUUGGGAAGGUCCUUGUAAAAUCAUUAAGAUAGCUGUCUCCUCAGUGACCAUACAAAUGAAACCAUCUUGCUCAAUCAGGAGUUAACUGGAAUCAAUCAGCAGCAAUCAAGAUUUAUUCGAGCUCCUCUGAGACACACUGUUUCCAUGGCAUCCAUAUUAGGCUGCCAAUAGCCAUCCUCUUUGUUUGCCAUCUGCAGCACUCAGACAGUGCUGGCUCCUGUCAAACUAAAAUGGCCUCUCCUUCCAUCUGUGCAAUUGUUCACCAGUCGCACAUGCCUCAUAUGCUCAAACUUGGAAUUUUUAAAGAUAUACGUAACUUUAAAAUGGGUGGCGGGGGGGUAUCAAUUGGAAUUUUUUUUCUUUUUGUGAAAAGGUUACUUUUGGGAUUCACAGAGCUGUGGAGUAAAUUAAGAAGAACAAAAAUAUGUUCUUCAACCAACUCAAUAUGUCAGCAAAAAUAUAUGUUGCUGCCUGCCUCCACUUGAGCUAUGAUUCCCUAUGGUUGUAUAAAGACAAAAAUGUAUUUCUUGAUAAAGAAAGAGGUCUUUCAAAGCAUUAAUGUACCAUACUCCUGAAAUAUGUGAAAAAUGCCCAUACCAAUUAACAAGGCAGGGAAUCGGGGAGACCAGUGUGUAGGACAAAAGCCACACAAUGUCUUUGUAGGUCUUUAUAAAUAUCUGUGGCUGGCUCAGUGCUAACUAGGCCAUGUGCAGAGCAUGAUGGGUCAAGCCGCCUUACUCAUUGGGGAGGCUCAGGGAGACAGACUGACCUGCAUUUUCUCUCCAUUACAGCCCUGAUUGGGGCGUUUAGGAAGCACCACCAUCCAAUCCGGAAGGCAGUGUGCCAGCAGCCUGCUGCAAGCACCUUUUGCUCUCUCUUCCUAUUUUGCGUAUUCUUGUGCCAUUUUUCCAUAUUUUCCCCAAGCUUCCGCUGGUCUUUCUUUCUCAAAAUAUACAGAAUAAUUGUCUUUUAUAGUGAACAUCUCUGGGUACUUUCUGAAUAUUCAGAUUUAUGUGUUGUUUGUAGAUGCAGACGACUCGUCGUCCUUUGUGACUGGAAUCAUUCUCUACAGGAACUUGGGUAGCAUCCUGUCCCUGCAGAGAAAUAGUUCGGUGCUUAACUCAAACGUUAUCUCAGUGACCAUCAAGCCCACCCCUAGCUCUCUAGCUCUCAGGUCAGCCCUUGUUGAGAUUGAGUUCUUCCAUCUCUACAACAAUACCACAAACCAGACCUGCAUUUCCUGGGAUGAGAGUGACAU